rnacentral:rRNA from 1 species
GCCUAAAUCUAAAGCUAAACAACACUACAAAACUUCACCCCAACAAAGCCAAACCAUUUGUGCCAAGCUAGUAAAUGAGAUUAAACACUACCUCAGCCAUCUAGUACCGCAAGGGACAGACUGAAAGAAUAGUGAAAACUCAAGCAAAGCACAGCAAAGAUGGACCCUUGUACCUCUUGCAUCAUGGUCUAGCCAAACACCUUCAAACAAAGAGAACUUUAGUCUGACAACCCGAAACCAAACGAGCUAUUUCUAGACAGCUUUCACUAGAGCACACCCGUCCCUGUAGCAAAAGGGUGGGAAGAUCUAAAAAUAGAGGCAAAACGCCUACCGAGCUUGGUGAUAGCUGGCUACUCAACAAAAGAACUUAAGUUCAACCCCAGACCCAAUAAACAAGGACAGACCCUGGUUUAAACCAACUCUAUUACAGUCUGAGGGCAAUCAAUGGGGGGACAGCUCCAUUGACCAGGGAUACAGCCCGAACUGCGAGAAACUGACCUUUAACCUUUAGUGGACCCCAAAGCAGCCACCAAAAAAUGCGUCAAAGCUCUUGCUAACACCAAUUAAUAUUACAAAGCCUUUCUCCUGCUCCAAAUCGAGUAAUUUUAUUUUUAAAUAAAAACCUCCAUGCUAGAACUAGUAAUGAGAAAACUUUUCUCUCCGCACAGCCUUAAACCAGAGUCUAAAACCGCUGGUAAUUAACAGACCACACAUGGAUCGACACACAUAAACAAGUUCCUCCCUGUCACCUCUAAUCUGUUACCCCGACACAGGCGUGCAAAAAAGAAAGGCUAAAAUCCGCAAAAGGAACUCGGCAAUAGUAGUCCCAACUGUUUACCAAAAACAUAGCCUUUAGCCCAACAAGUAUUAAAGGUCCCGCCUGCCCAGUGACCCCUCAACGGCCGCGGUAUCCUAACCGUGCAAAGGUAGCAUAAUCACUUGUCCCCUAAAUAGGGACUAGAAUGAACGGCUAAAUGAGGACUAAACUGUCUCUUGCAGAAGGCCAAUGAAACUGAUCUUCCAGUCCAAAAGCUGAAAUAAUAUCAUAAGACGAGAAGACCCUGUGGAGCUUUUUAAACCUUGACCAUUAAAUAUGACCCCUUGGUUUUUAGUUGGGGCGACUUCGGAGCACAAAAAACCCUCCGAAAAACUCUAUUAAGAUCCACACAUCAAAAUAACCAACUUGACCCAGUAGUUUUUACUAAACUAUCUGACCAAUGAACCAAGUUACCCCAGGGAUAACAGCGCUAUCCCCUUCUAGAGUCCAUAUCGACAAGGGGGCUUACGACCUCGAUGUUGGAUCAGGAGACCCUAAUAGUGCAACCGCUAUUAAGGGUUCGUUUGUUCAACGAUUAAUAAUCCUACGUGAUCUGAGUUCAGACCGGAGCAAUCCAGUCGGUUUCUAUCUAUGUAGGACUUUCCCCAGUACGAAAGGACCGGGACAGUAAGAUCUAUGCCAAAAGCACAUCUUACCUAAAAUUGCUGAUUUAAACUAAAGCAAUUACUGGCUUACUCACCAGCCCUAAAUAUGGGUU